GAUGAACGCUGGCGGCGUGCCUAAUACAUGCAAGUCGAGCGAACAGACGAGGAGCUUGCUCCUCUGACGUUAGCGGCGGACGGGUGAGUAACACGUGGAUAACCUACCUAUAAGACUGGGAUAACUUCGGGAAACCGGAGCUAAUACCGGAUAAUAUAUUGAACUGCAUGGUUCAAUAGUGAAAGACGGUUUUGCUGUCACUUAUAGAUGGAUCCGCGCCGCAUUAGCUAGUUGGUAGGGUAACGGCUUACCAAGGGAACGAUGCGUAGCCGACCGGAGAGGGUGAUCGGCCACACUGGAAGUGAGACACGGUCCAUACUCCUACGGUAGGCAGCAGUAGGGAAUCGUACGCAAUGGGCGAAAGUUUGACGGAGCAACGCCGAGUGAGUGAUGAAGGUCUUCGGAGCGUAAAACUCUGUUAUUAGGGAUGAACAAAUGUGUAAGUAACUAUGCACGUAUUGACGGUACCUAAUCAGAAAGCCACGGCUAACUACGUG
rnacentral:rRNA from 1 species